rnacentral:ncRNA from 1 species
GAAACAGGGGAGCUUGUAGAACAGGCUGAGAGGAAAUUUGAAAUUUCGACCCUUUACCUGAUUUGGAUAAUGCCAACGUAGGGACGUGAAAUAU